CAUUAAGAAGCUAUGCCACAGCACUAGCCUUUUAAGCUAGAACAUAGAGGUGUAUUAUCCUCCUUAAUGA
rnacentral:tRNA from 1 species